GCACAGAACUGGGAUAGGGAAAUUAAAGCCCUGCAGAAUGCUCUGGUGGGGUGAGGUAUUCACUGUGGACAUUGAUGCUCACAGUGAUGAUAAAAAGCAGGCUGGACAUGUGUUGCUCUGUCCCCCUUACUGCCUUUUCAAUAGUGUGGUCAAAAGGAAGCAGCAACUGAAUGUGAGUUGUGCUUUGCUCGGGUUUCAAGGCUGGUGCAGGUGUUUCUGCACCACAGGGGCUUUGGCUUGGUGAGGUGUUUAUCUGAUGUACCUUAGCUCAUGUUACACUGCCACUGCCCUGCUGGCAGAUUUAUGCAGCGUGUACAAAAUUUCAUCAGAGCUUCCUGCAAUCACUUGGUCCACACAGCAAAGUGUUACUGAGAGCUGAGGAGAGGCCUCAAAUACACGGAUAAAGCUGCAAACCAGGGCAGGAGUUUAAAUCUGCAGCAAAGGCAAGCAGGAUAAUGUCCUGAGAACUGUGGCAAUGUCCCCUGGCAUGGGCUGCUGCCACCUGCCUGCACAGCUCCUGUCUCUGCUGGGGAGGGAGCCGAAGCCUACCAGUAAGCAGUGGAGACUAUUGUGGGGAAGUCCUUUUUGGAUGCUGGGAUUAGACCAGGACAGAGGAAGAUAAGGGGGCUAUCAGUGAUGCUCCAGAGAGUUGGAAACAGAAUCUGUUAACACCUGGGAGCAUUUCCUGUCAUGGGGUUCUUAGACCCGUAUUUCCAUUGCCUUCUGGUGCACCUGGGGUCCUGCUGAAUCUGCAGUAGCUGUGGCAUCAAGGGAUUGGAAACCUUGGGGAGACCCCUUUGAGAGGGUCAAACAGAUGCUUACAUUAGAGCUGUUUCCAAAAUACCCUCGGUUUCUAGCUGACAGGUUCAUUUUUUUAGUUCUUCUGUUGUUACAAGCCUUGGUUGAGCAAAAUAUUUAGU